rnacentral:rRNA from 1 species
AUUGAACGCUGGCGGCAGGCCUAACACAUGCAAGUCGAGCGGUAGCACAGAGGAGCUUGCUCCUUGGGUGACGAGCGGCGGACGGGUGAGUAAUGCCUGGGGAUCUGCCCGAUAGAGGGGGAUAACUACGGGAAACUGUAGCUAAUACCGCAUAAUGUCUACGGACCAAAGUGGGGGCUCUUCGGACCUCAUGCUAUCGGAUGAACCCAGGUGGGAUUAGCUAGUUGGUGAGGUAAUGGCUCACCAAGGCGACGAUCUCUAACUGGUUUGAGAGAAUGACCAGUCACACUGGAACUGAGACACGGUCCAGACUCCUACGGGAGGCAGCAGUGGGGAAUAUUGCACAAUGGGCGCAAGCCUGAUGCAGCCAUGCCGCGUGUGUGAAGAAGGCCUUCGGGUUGUAAAGCACUUUCAGCGGGGAGGAAGGGUCACUAGCUAAUACCUAGUGGCAUUGACGUUACUCGCAGAAGAAGCACCGGCUAACUCCGUGCCAGCAGCCGCGGUAAUACGGAGGGUGCAAGCGUUAAUCGGAAUUACUGGGCGUAAAGCGCACGCAGGCGGUUUGUUAAGUCANAUGUGAAAUCCCCGAGCUCAACUUGGGAACUGCAUUUGAAACUGGCAAGCUAGANUCUUGUA